rnacentral:lncRNA from 1 species
AUAUUGACCCUCCCCUCAUGGACCCUAUAAUGGGGGACCCCAAGAGUGGGAAUGGCCCCCCCCAAUGGUAACCCUCCCCCCCCCCCCCAGUGCCCCGGAUGUGGCAGAGGAUGGAGGAACUGAAGGGGAAAGUGGAGAAGGAGGAGAAGGAUGGGCAGCACAGACAUGGGAUGUUGCAGCGCUUUGGGGCCGACGUGGGACGGCUGCGACUGGAAGGCUCCCGGUUCCUGGUGGAGGCCUCAACGCUGGAGUCGGAGCUGAGGGCGGAGCUCAACCGCGUCCAAUCAGCCGAGGGGGCGGAGCUUCCGCUGACCCCGCCCACCGCCUGACCACAGCCAAUGGAGGCCACGCCCAUUACAUGAGGCCACGCCCCCCUAAUUUGCAUUAAAGGGACCGCGCACCCCAAAAAUGGCUCCAAUUCUCUCCAUCACCGCCCCCGUCUGCCCCACACAAUAUCCCCAGAUUGAUGCUCCCCAGCCCCAUAGAUGCCCCUUAUUGCCCCCAAUGUCCCCCCACAUCCUGCCCCCCAAGUCACCCCACAUCAGCCCCACAUCAUCACAUUCCAGUCCCAUAUUGACCCCAAUAUAUUUCCUCCAGCCCCACAGAUGUCCCCCCAGUAUCCCCC